UUCACGUAUUGUAAAGCAAUCAAGCAACUCCCCCUUCUAUUUCCCUUUCCAGAAUUCACUUACAGAGUUGAGUAAGAGGUUCAACCGUUCUUGGUUUCUACAAAAGGUACGCGUCGGAUUAUCGAUUUUGUCUCUUGAUUAAUUUUUUAAAUAAUUUUCACUCGUUUCUCUUUCUGGGUUAGCCAAAUAAUAAUUUUUGAUCUAAUUGGGAUUAAUUUAGCUUUCUUUGAUUCAUCGUAAUAAUACUAUUUAAAUUAUCAGCAUAGUUUUGUGCUUUUGUGAGUACAUAGGAUUUGGGAAAUUAACUUGAUUUAAAUUGUAAACCUUUUAUCAAAAACUAUAUACAAGGAAUUAGUUUUAACAGUAAUCUAAUUUUUAAAAGUAUAGAUAAAUAAUAUUUUUUAUUUAGUGGUUGGAAAUCACGAAUAAAAAACUGAAAUUCAGAAAAUAUGAUUUAAUUAUAUUUUGGCAAUUGAAUUGAAGAUUUGAUUAGAAAUAUAAAUAUUUAUGCCUCCUAAUUGAUUAAAUUUUUUUUAAAUAAGAAAUUUUCGUUAUUGUUGCUCACACUUUUAAGAAUUAUUUUGAUUAUUAUGGGUACUAACUAGGAAGAAUGGUUCACUAUUGUUUCUUCAUCAAGUGCAGGAGAGUACACAAGAAAGAUUUGAAGAUGGAGUAUGUGUUCUAUAUAUCAUUUCCAGUUAUACUAUUCAUCUUAAUCGUAGCCAUUGCUUGUUACUUGAUUGGUAGGAAUAGGGGUCGAUAAUAAUCUACUAGACUUUCCUCAGGUCUAUGGUCCACCUACACCCACACCUCCCAAGUAGAAUUAAUUCAACUUCUUUUAGAAUAAAGCUGGUUUGCCCAAAAAUUUUGACACCUUGGUUGAUCGACUCUCGCAUUGCGCGUGGGUCUUGCUUGAAUUAAAAAAUGUCCAACUCCCCAUGUGUGUAUAUUCGAUCAUCCCCUAUGUUAGUGCUGCAAAACUCCUUUUAAUUUGCUUCUCGUGACUUUGCUUUUGUAAUAAAACACAUAUUUAAGGUUCUCUCUUUAAAGGAAUGGAUGGGUUGUUUUAGUGGGUAUUACUUGAGUAAAUUGACAGAAUUCAAGAAAUUUGGACAUAAUGCCACAUAAAUACUUUCGUAAGAAAUAUUUUAAAUUUUAAUGUAAGUAUAUAUUCAAAAUAGUAAGUAACAAUAUCCGAGUAACAUAGCACAUUAAUUGUGAAAUACUUUUAAAGAAUGGCUAGUAAUUUGUCACAUUUGCAUAAUUGUACGUAUUCAAGUGACUUCUAUGUGUGCUUUCUCAUUUGCGCAUCAAUGAAUUGUGAAUAAUAGAAAUUAAUGACCCGUAGGGGCGGCCAGUCAUAAUCGAAAUAAUAGAGCUGGAUUUGGUGUAUCAUAAUGCCUAUUUGCCC
rnacentral:lncRNA from 1 species